rnacentral:rRNA from 1 species
AUUGAACGCUGGCGGCAGGCCUAACACAUGCAAGUCGAGCGGAUGAAGGGAGCUUGCUCCUGGAUUCAGCGGCGGACGGGUGAGUAAUGCCUAGGAAUCUGCCUGGUAGUGGGGGAUAACGUCCGGAAACGGGCGCUAAUACCGCAUACGUCCUGAGGGAGACAGUGGGGGAUCUUCGGACCUCACGCUAUCAGAUGAGCCUAGGUCGGAUUAGCUAGUUGGUGGGGUAAAGGCCUACCAAGGCGACGAUCCGUAACUGGUCUGAGAGGAUGAUCAGUCACACUGGAACAGAGACCCGGUCCAGACUCCUACGGGAGGCAGCAGUGGGGAAUAUUGGACAAUGGGCGAAAGCCUGAUCCAGCCAUGCCGCGUGUGUGAAGAAGGUCUUCGGAUUGUAAAGCACUUUAAGUUGGGAGGAAGGGCAGUAAGUUAAUACCUUGCUGUUUUGACGUUACCAACAGAAUAAGCACCGGCUAACUUCGUG